GGCAGCAAGACAGCGAUGUUAAGCAAAACUCAAAAAGCCUGUCCCAGUUCGGAUUGCACUCUGCAACUCGAGUGCAUGAAGUUGGAGUUGCUAGUAAUCGUGGAUCAGAAUGCCACGGUGAAUGCGUUCCCGGGUCUUGUACACACCGCCCGUCACACCAUGGAAGUUGGCAAUACCCGAAGCCUGUGAGCUAACCUUUUGG
rnacentral:rRNA from 1 species